AUUGAACGCUGGCGGCAUGCUUUACACAUGCAAGUCGUACGGUAACAGGCCGCAAGGUGCUGACGAGUGGCGAACGGGUGAGUAAUGCAUCGGAACGUGCCCAGUCGUGGGGGAUAACUACUCGAAAGAGUAGCUAAUACCGCAUACGAUCUAUGGAUGAAAGCGGGGGACCGUAAGGCCUCGCGCGAUUGGAGCGGCCGAUGUCAGAUUAGGUAGUUGGUGGGGUAAAGGCUCACCAAGCCAACGAUCUGUAGCUGGUCUGAGAGGACGACCAGCCACACUGGGACUGAGACACGGCCCAGACUCCUACGGGAGGCAGCAGUGGGGAAUUUUGGACAAUGGGCGCAAGCCUGAUCCAGCAAUGCCGCGUGCAGGAAGAAGGCCUUCGGGUUGUAAACUGCUUUUGUACGGAACGAAACGGCUCUGGUUAAUACCCGGGGCUAAUGACGGUACCGUAAGAAUAAGCACCGGCUAACUACGUG
rnacentral:rRNA from 1 species